AGUGGCGCGAUCUCGGUUCACUGCAAGCUCCGCCUCCCGGGUUCACACCAUUCUCCUGCCUCAGCCUCCUGAGUAGCUUGGACUACAGGCGCCCGCCACCACACCCUGCUAAUUUUUUGUAUUUUUAGUAGAGAUGGGGUUUCACUGUGUUAGCCGGGAUGGUCUCGAUCUCUUGACCUCGAGGAUUCAGCUUCUUCCUAGUUCAGUCUUUGGAAGGUGUGUGUGUCCAGGAAUUUAUCCAUAUCUUCUAGAUUUUCUAGCUUAUUAGUACUUUCCCUUUUGUUACUACUAUGCUACUACUGCUGUGCUUCCUUGCUGACGGUUCCAGUUCCUAUCGCUGUGUAACAAACUACCUCACAUCUCUCUAUAUUAAGAUACAUAUAUUUCCAUUUUUCUAUCUAUUGAUCUAUCUAUCUAUCUAUCUAUCUAUCAUCUAUCUAUCUAUCUAUCUAUCUAUCUAUCUAAAAUAAGAAAUUGGCUCAAAAAAUUAUGCGGGCUGAGAAGUCCUAGGAUCUGCAGCUGGUAAGCUGAUGACCCAGGAGAGCUGAUGAUGUGGUUCAGUCUGGGUCUGAAGGUAGAACACUAAUGUCUUUGCUUGAGGUCAGGCAGGCACAGGGAAAAUACUUUCUUACACAAACUUUAUUCAGGCCUUCAACGAAUUAGAUGAGGUCUACCUAACAUUGAGGGUGGUGAUCUUCUUUACAGCCUACUAAUUCAAAUGUUAAUCUCGUCCAGAAACACCAUCACAGACAUAUCCAGAAGUAAUAUUUAACAAAAUAUCUGGGCAUCCCAUGGCCUGGUCAAAUUGACACAUAAAAUUAACUAUCACAGCUUCCUAAUUAACUCUCACAGCCUCCUUUUAUUUAGUUGUUUUGCCUGUGUUUGUAAUUUUGUUUAAUUUAGCAAUUUUAAUAAUGUUAUUACAUUAUUAAAUAGACAUCUGUGAAGUUCCUUCCCAAGUUCAGCUAGUCUCUUCACAAGAAGCCAUAUAUAAACAUGGUUGGUCCUCCCCUUCAAUCCAUUCUCACCUUCUCUCUUCUGAGGUCAUUAUCAUCCUGAAUUCAUUUUUAUUUAGUUUUAUUAAAUAGAGGUGGAGUUUAGUAUUACAAGAUAGGUUUUAAAAAUUGUGGUUUGUAGCUUCAUAAAAAAGGCAGCUGGGCGCGGUGGCUCAUGCCUGUAAUCCCAGCACUUUGGGAGGCCGAGGCAGGUGGAUCACGAGGUCAAGAGAUCAAGACCACCCGGGCCAACAUGGUGAAACCCCGUCUCUACUAAAAAUACAGCAAUUAGCUAGGCAUGGUGAUGCACACCUGUAGUCCCAGCUAUUCGAGAGGCUGAGGCAGG
rnacentral:lncRNA from 1 species